GCCAGAGUGUGAGUCUGUCACUGUGUUCGAACUCAGCAUCCUCUCAUUUAAUUCCCAACAAUACAAGGUGGGCGACGACAUCUCCAUUUGCCAGGUGAAUAAAGCAGCCUUUUGAGGAUUUAAGCCUAAUUGUAAAGUUACAUAUCUAGUAAAUAGAAUCUCAAUUCAAAUCCAGGUGUUCACCACCUUGCUUCUCUACUUCCAGCUCUUGGGGCAUCCCUCUGCCACCUGCUCUUUCCCAAUACCACAGGAGAACAAAGGUCCCGAGUCCAGGGCUCUCCUGCAAAGUCAGCUGUUGGCUCUGAGGACAUUGAGGGGAGCUGGUGCCAGAAAGAAGUUGAAAAUGUCACUCUCUCUGCCUUGUGGAAUUGGGACAAGUAUUGUUCUGGGAAGAAGUGAGAAAAAGGUGGAUUGAAAGCUCUUCAGAGCCUAGCACAAUGUGAACACAGCAGGCUUUUGCUCAUGUCUAAGAAUUAUGAUGUUUUAUUUUCAGGAAUAGAACUUAAUCAAUUUCAAGCCAGGAAAAAAAUUUUACCAAGAAAAUCACUAACUCAGGAUGCUUUUAUACUUUAUUCACUUAAAACAAUGAUAAAUAGUUCACUGUGUUUCAUGUCUUUAUAGCAAUCCGAUUUUUUUAAACUACUUUUUUGUUUUACCAACCUGUCUGAAAAGCUGGUGUGUAAUUUUCUGCUAUUUGUAAUUGGUUUACAUUUUUGACACAAACUUUUAUGUACAUAUAUUUGAUUGUUUUAUGUACAUAUAUUUGAUUGUUAAAUAUGAACUUACAUGAAUUGAGCUAAUUCUACUUGACUAUAAUAUUUACUGGAGCCUCAUGGAUUAAAAAGAAAUAUUUUGCAAAUUCAUAUUAAAAAUUCAUUUUUCAGAAAUAUAACCUCUAAAAAGCCAUAUUUGAUGAUAGAUAUGAUGUUCUGGAAAAGGAAAAAGAAUGCAUGUAGAAAUGAAUCAGAAU
rnacentral:lncRNA from 1 species